rnacentral:piRNA from 1 species
UGUGGGGCGAAUGCUACAUGGAUGAUUGUUU